GCAUUUUACUGCUUUCCUAGCUGGAAGACCUCGAUAGGAGGCAAUGUUUUUGUGUUUACUUUAUGCAGGUUCCUUUGUCCAGGGUUAAGAGCUGUGAGGUCUUAUCCUCAUUACCCUUUUGCAUGCGCGUUCCUACAAUGCAAACAAACCCUUCAUUGAUUUUUCUUCUCCAUAACACACAUUUACUCCUUCUACUACAGGCGAGUAAGUCUCCAAAGGUCGAGCAUCUGGUAGAUUGCGUAGUGACGUCGUUC
rnacentral:lncRNA from 1 species